CAGCUUUACAAAAAACAACACACAGAAGCUGAGAUGGUGUCGGUUUUAUUCAAUUCCACUGAGGCUGACUGGAGUUUGUACUGUAUGUGUAGUGGUGUGUGGGUAAAAUCACUAGGAAAGCACCCCCCACAAAAAGGCAGAUUUAAACCUGUGUUGUGAUAAUUGUGAUGUUUGCUCUAUAACAUAUAUACAUUAACCUUGAGACUGUGAUAUAUAAUCAUGGACGGAGACACAUUUAGAAAGAUCCUGUCGUACUGCAUUUUAUUAUUGUAUACAAAGAAAAACAAGACACGUGUAUAAAUGCAUUGCUUCAAAACUACUCUUAGUAGCCUCAGUAAGAAGACACUUAUCCACAGCAAAAUAUUACAACCCCUUUUUUAAAGAAACAUAGCAUUUGAAAUAAAUACGUUUGGAUGAUAACAUCUUGCUGAUUGCAUUGGGGGCAAUGCACUUUCACACUAUUUACACUUUAAAUCUGACUAAAUAAUCAUCACCGUCUCACAGACCCUCAGUGCUCACAGAAACUGUUGCCCUUUACAUUCAAACCUCAUCCCUUCAUCGUCACAUUCUAUUUUUAAAUGUGCUUUUGUCAAGGAACCAAAAGUGAAAACUACACAUUUUUCCCAUUACCAGAAUAUACAGUGUACUGUAUACUAUAUAAAGACAGGACAAUGUACCAGAUAUAACUUGGUGUCAAACAGAAGACAUGCAAGCACUCAAUAAAGUGAAGAAUAUGAAUGUGACCAACAUGUCCCUCUUGAAGGUGACAUAAAGUAGACUAUACAGGUUACAUAAAGUAGACUAUACAGGUUACAUAAAGUAGACGAUACAGGUUACAUAAAGUAGACUAUAGAGGUCACAUAAAGUAGACUAUAGAGGUCACAUAAAGUAGACUAUACAGGUUACAUAAAGUAGACUAUAGAGGUCACAUAAAGUAGACUAUACAGGUUACAUAGAGUAGACUAUACAGGUUACAUAAAGUAGACGAUACAGGUCACAUAAAGUAGACUAUACAGGUUACAUAAAGUAGACUAUACAGGUUACAUAAAGUAGACUAUACAGGUUACAUAAAGUAGACUAUACAGGCUACAUAGAGUAGACUAGACAGGUUACAUAAAGUAGACUAUACAGGUUACAUAAAGUAGACUACACAGGCUACAUAAAGUAGACUGUACAGGUUACAUAAAGUAGACGGUACAGGUUACAUAAAGUAGACUAUACAGGUUACAUAAAGUAGACUAUAGAGGUCACAUAAAGUAGACUAUACAGGUCACAUAAAGUAGACUAUAGAGGUCACAUAAAGUAGACUAUAGAGGUCACAUAAAGUAGACUAUACAGGCUACAUAAAGUAGACUAUACAGGUUACAUAAAGUAGACUAUACAGGUUACAUAAAGUAGACUAUAGAGGUCACAUAAAGUAGACUAUAGAGGUCACAUAAAGUAGACUAUACAGGUUACAUAAAGUAGACUAUACAGGUUACAUAAAGUAGACUAUAGAGGUCACAUAAAGUAGACUAUACAGGUUACAUAAAGUAGACUAUACAGGUUACAUAGAGUAGACUAUACAGGUUACAUAGAUUAGAUUAUACAGUUUACAUAAAGUAGACUAUACAGGUUACAUAAAGUAGACUAUACAGGUUACAUAGAGUAGACUAUACAGGUUACAUAAAGUAGACUAUACAGGUUACAUAGAGUAGACUAUACAGGUUACAUAGAGUAGACUAUACAGGUUACAUAGAGUAGACUAUACAGGUUACAUAAAGUAGACUAUACAGGUUACAUAAAGUAGACUAUACAGGUUACAUAAAGUAGACUAUGCAGGUUAUUUACCAGGAUUUGGAGUGUAGAUGAGUAGAUCUGUCAGGUGUGUUAGACAGUAGAGGGGUGUCACUACAUUCCUCAGUGUUUGUUUAUACUGUAAGCUUAUGGUGUCUGUCAGGAACGCCACACCAGACACACCCUUACGUAUUCUCUUGGCAGUUAGUCACGUUGUAAAAUCUGUGUCCUUGGUAACUCAAAGCAGAAUGAGAAAAAAACAACACAGUUAUUGGCGGCUUGAAAAAAUGUAUGUGUUGCGUAAGUUGUUUUCUAUGUCAGCUGAAUGCACCUUUAAGUUCAUUGAACCAUGGUUAUGUGAGUGUGAAUUUACGUUGUACGUAAAUUCCCCAUAUUAAUUCCCCUCCCCAUAUUUAAGUCAUUUAAUGGACAACAACACUUAGGCUUCUACUUACAACACUUA
ensembl:lncRNA